AUGAGAGAGAGGUCAAAAUGCCAUUGUUAAAAAGGAAAAUUCAAACAAAAGAGUUAAUCCAAUCCAUAAGCAUUGAUAGCUUUUUGAGCUCUUUGUGAAAAAGAAAGUUGGGAGAGGUGGACAAGAAGUUAGGGCAGAUGUUGACAUCUUAUCCAUAAAUAUCCACCCAAAAAGUUCCAAUCAGACCGGUCCCCUUUCCUACUUGUCCCAUCAGUUCACAGGUCUGCACAUUUAUCUUUUCACUUUUUUCUCGAUUUCAAUGCGAAUAUAUCCCUUUGAUUUUUAUAAAACUUAUUCAAUUGAGGAAGCACCCAUUAUUGCUUCUGGGGGAGAAUAAUCACACAGAUUUUAGAUUCUAGCAAUUGCGUAUAAUCACACAACAAUACAAACAAAUUAACUAUGGCUAAUUCACACCCUAAAAGAUAUUUUCCACAAAAAGCCAAAAAGAACCAUUGAUUAUUAAUUUUUUGGAAUUUAACUAUUUAAACCCAAGAAAGAAGCAUCCUUUAUUUCAAAUGAAAAAGUUUUGUUUGGUUGUUCCCAAAAUGUGCUCUCAAUAUACUCAGAAGAAAAAAACAAACAUUUGAAUAAAGUAGAGUAAUCAAAAGAGCAAAUACAGCUCUUUCUGAUACAACUUGAAUAAAGUUUUAACAUGAACCAUUUAACACAAAUACAUUACCUUCUUCUCCUUCUGAAGUAGCUUUGCAACCCAAAAACUCUAA